UAGCUAGUUGGUGAGGUAAAGGCUUACCAAGGCGACGAUCUGUAGCGGGUCUGAGAGGAUGAUCCGCCGCACUGGAACUGAGACACGGUCCAGACUCCUACGGGAGGCAGCAGUGGGGAAUUUUGGACAAUGGGGGCAACCCUGAUCCAGCCAUGCCGCGUGAGUGAAGAAGGCCUUCGGGUUGUAAAGCUCUUUCGGCCGGGAAGAAAUCGCAUGGGCCAAUACCCUGUGUGGAUGACGGUACCGGAAUAAGAAGCACCGGCUAACUACGUGCCAGCAGCCGCGGUAAUACGUAGGGUGCGAGCGUUAAUCGGAAUUACUGGGCGUAAAGCGUGCGCAGGCGGUUUUGUAAGACAGGCGUGAAAUCCCCGGGCUUAACCUGGGAACUGCGUUUGUGACUGCAAGGCUAGAGUACGGCAGAGGGGGGUGGAAUUCCACGUGUAGCAGUGAAAUGCGUAGAGAUGUGGAGGAACACCAAUGGCGAAGGCAGCCCCCUGGGUCGAUACUGACGCUCAUGCACGAAAGCGUGGGUAGCAAACAGGAUUAGAUACCCUGGUAGUCCACGCCCUAAACUAUGUCAACUAGGUGUUGGGUGGGUAAAACCAUUUAGUACCGUAGCUAACGCGUGAAGUUGACCGCCUGGGGAGUACGGCCGCAAGGUUAAAACUCAAAGGAAUUGACGGGGACCCGCACAAGCGGUGGAUGAUGUGGAUUAAUUCGAUGCAACGCGAAAAACCUUACCUACCCUUGACAUGCCAGGAACUUGCCAGAGAUGGCUUGGUGCCCGAAAGGGAGCCUGGACACAGGUGCUGCAUGGCUGUCGUCAGCUCGUGUCGUGAGAUGUUGGGUUAAGUCCCGCAACGAGCGCAACCCUUGUCGUUAAUUGCCAUCAUUUAGUUGGGCACUUUAACGAGACUGCCGGUGACAAACCGGAGGAAGGUGGGGAUGACGUCAAGUCCUCAUGGCCCUUAUGGGUAGGGCUUCACACGUCAUACAAUGGUCGGUACAAAGGGUUGCCAAGCCGCGAGGCGGAGCCAAUCCCAGAAAGCCGAUCGUAGUCCGGAUUGCAGGCUGCAACUCGCCUGCAUGAAGUCGGAAUCGCUAGUAAUCGUGGAUCAGCAUGUCACGGUGAAUACGUUCCCGGGUCUUGUACACACCGCCCGUCACACCAUGGGAGCGGGUUCCGCCAGAAGUAGGUAGCCUAACCGCAAGGGGGGCGCUUACCACGGCGGGGUUCGUGACUGGGGUGAAGUCGUAACAAGGUAGCCGUAGGGGAACCUGCGGCUG
rnacentral:rRNA from 1 species